GUCUACGGCCAUGCUACCCUGAACAAGCCCGAUUCCGUCUGAUCUCGGAAGCUAAGCAGGGUCAGGCCUGGUUAGUACUUGGGUGAGAUACCACCUAGGAAGACCAGGUGCUGUAGGUG
rnacentral:rRNA from 1 species